rnacentral:rRNA from 1 species
AGAGUUUGAUCCUGGCUCAGAACGAACGUUGGCGGCGUGGAUUAGGCAUGCAAGUCGAGCGGGAUUAUAUCGGUUCAAUCUUUUGGGAGAGAACCUUUAUAUGAGAGCGGCGAACGGGUGAGUAAUAUAUGGGUAAUUUGCCUCUUUGUUCGGAAUAGCAGUCGGAAACGAUUGGUAAUGCCGGAUGUGAUUGGACAGCGUUUGCUGUCUUGUUUAAAGGUGGGGAAUCUUUGGAUCCUAUCGCAAAGAGAUAAGCCCAUAGCCUAUUAGCUAGUUGGUGAGGUAAUGGCUCACCAAGGCUUAUGGGUAGCUGGUCUGAGAGGAUGGUCAGCCACACUGGGACUGAGACACUGCUUAGACUCCUACGGGAGGCUGCAGUCGAGGAUCAUUGUUAAUGCACGAAAGUGUGAACAUGCGACGCCGCGUGGAGGAAGACGGCCUUUGGGUUGUAAACUCCUGUCAGCAGGGAAGAAGGGUAGUAUUGUUAAUAGUAAUGCUAUUUGACGGUACCUGCAGAGGAAGUCACGGCUAACUCUGUGCCAGCAGUUGCGGUAAUACAGAGGUGGCGAACGUUGUUCGGAUUUACUGGGCGUAAAGGGUCCGCAGGCGGAUCGGUAUGUCGGAUGUGAAAGUUUAUAGUUUAAUUGUGGAAUUGCAUUCGAAACUGCCGAUCUAGAGUACUGGAGGGGAGAAGGGAACACUUGGUGUAGUGGUGAAAUGUGUAGAUAUCAAGUGGAAUAUUGGUGGUGAAGGUGCUUCUCUGGACAGAUACUGACGCUCAUGGACGAAAGUUAGGGUAGUGAAAGGGAUUAGAUAUCCCUGUAGUCCUAACCGUAAAUGGUGUGCACUAGACGUGGGAGGUUUUAUUUCCUUCCGUGUCUGAGUUAAUGUAUUAAGUGCACCGCCUGGGGAGUAUGGUCGUAAGAUUAAAACUCAAAGGAAUUGACGGGGACCCGCACAAGCGGUGGAGCAUGUGGUUUAAUUUGAUGCAAUGUGAAGAAUUUUACCUGGACUUGAUAUAUAGUUGUAAUUGACCCGAAAGGGAUGGUGUUUUUGAGGGUGUUAUAUAGGUGUUGUAUGGCUGUCGUCAGCUCGUGUUGUGAGGUGUUGGGUUAAGUUUUGUAACGAGCGUAACCCCUGUGUUUAGUUGUUAGUAUGUAAUGGUGGGAACUUUAAACAUACUGCCUGUGAAAACAGGAGGAAGGUGGGGAUGACGUCAAGUCAGUAUGGUCCUUAUGUCCAGGGCUGCACACGUGCUAUAAUGGGUGAUAUAAUAGGAAGUUAGAUUGUGAGGUGGUGUAAAUCCUCAAAAUCACCCCCAGUUCGGAUUGGAGUUUGAAAUUUGACUCCAUGAAGUUGGAAUUGUUAGUAAAGGCGUAUUAGUUAUGACGCCUUGAAUACGUUCCCGGGUCUUGUACACACCGCCCGUCACAUCAUGGAAGUCGGUUGCACCCGAAGUUGCUGAUUUAAUUAUUUAUUUGGAGGAAGGCGCCGAAGGUGUGAUCAAUAACUGGGAUGAAGUUGUAAUAAGGUA